rnacentral:tRNA from 1 species
GGAGAGGUGCCCGAGCGGUUUAAGGGAACGGUUUGCUAAACCGUGGCGCCGAAAGGUGCCUCAUGGGUUCGAAUCCCAUCCUCUCCGCCA